GGCAGUGUUGCCUAGAGGAGAGGGCACUAGAGUGGGAUUCAGGAGACCUGGGUUUUAUUCCUGGCUCUGCCA
rfam:Chelonia mydas contig252327, whole genome shotgun sequence.